AAAAUCACCACUCAUUCAUAUUCCUGUUCCCUUAAGAAAAUGGAUCCUUAGUUCCCCAGAAUGUAUUCUCCUUUCUACCACGGGACAGAAAGAGUUAGAUAAUCAUGAACAGAUGCUACUUAUUAUUCUCCACCUUUGUGAAAAGGUGUCACAUGGCUGAACAAUGGCCCCUAAAAACAUCAGAUCCUACCUAAUUCUUGGAACCCGUGAAUGUUACCUUGUAUAGCAAGGGAAAAAAAAAAUAAGGAUACUGUAGAUGUGAUGGAGUUAUGUCCUGGAUUAUUCAGGUGGACCCUAAAUGCAAUCACAUGUAUCCUUGUAAGUGUGAGGUAGAGGGAGAUUAUACAACCUCAGAAGAAAAGGCAAUGUGAAGACAAGUAAGAGGCAGAUUUAAAGAUAUUGCCACUAAAGAUUGGAGGGAUACGGCUAUAAGCCAAGGAAUGCUGGCUGCCACCAGAAGCUCAAAGAGGUAAAGAAAGUAUUCUCACCCAGAGCCUUUAAAGGGAGCACUGCCCUGCUAACACCUUGGGUUUGGCUGAGUAAUACAAAUUUAGAUGUCCAGCCUCUAGAACUGUGAGACUAAAUGUAUAUUGUUCUACGCCAUCAGUUUGUCGUAAUUUGUUACUCCAGCCACAGGACAGAUCUCAAAGAUUGUUUCAAGCUUUAUUCCCAGGUGUUGGUUUUUCAUACUACUGUAAAUGAUAUUUUUAUUCUCAUUUUCAAAUUAUUUAUUUUUGGUACUUAGAAUUAGUGUUGUAUUUUGAUCUUGUAUCCUAUGACCUUGCUAAAUGGUAAAUAUUUACUACUUCUAGUAGUUGUGUGUGUGAUUAUAAAUUCCACUGAGAUUUAUAGGUACACAUCAUGUAAUCUUCAAAUAACAUAUAUAUCAAAUAAUAUAUAUAUCAAAUUAUACACACACACACACACACACACACACACACACACACACACAUAUAUAUAUAUACUUUUUUUUUUUUGAGACAGAGUUUUGCUCUUGUUGCCCAGGCUGGAGUGCAAUGGUGCAAUCUAGGCUCACUGCAACCUCCACCUCCCAGAUUCAAGUGAUUCUCCUGCCUCAGUCUUCCGUGUAGCUGGGAUUUCAGACAUGUGUCACCACACCCAGCUAAUUUUGUGUUUUUAGUAGAGACGGGGUUUCUCCAUGUUAGUCAGGCUGGUCUCGAACUCCCAACCUCAGGUGAUCCGCCCGCCUUGGCCUCCCAAAGUGCUGGGAUUACAGGCAUGAGCUACCACACCCGAGUAUUUUUAUUUUUUUCCUUUCCAAACUCUAUGUCACUGAUUGCCUUUUCUUUACUACUGUCCAGGAAUUACAGUACAAUGUUAAGAAGAACACAUGUCUUGUCUUCUUCUUGAUAUUAGAGGAAGAGUUUAAUGUUUCAGUAUAAAUUUUACUACUGGUUUUUCAGGGGUUGUCAGUGUUCUUUAUCAGAUAGAAAAAGUUCCUUUCAAUCUCUGAUUUGCUCAUAGGUUAAUUCUUUUUCAUGAAUGAACUUGCAUUGUGUCAAAUGCUUCUUCCUCCAUCUGUUGAAUCAUAUAAUUUUUCUCCUUUAUUGUGUUAUUUUGGUGAAUUUCACUGUUUGACUUUUGAAUGUUGAUAUGGCUUGGCUCUGUGUCCCCACUCAAAUCUUCUGUCAACUUGUAAUUCCCAAUGUUGGGGGAGGGACCUGGUGGGAGGUGAUUGGGUCAUGGGGGUGGAUUUCUCCCUUGUGUUUUGUGAUAGCGAGUAAGUUCUCAUGAAAUCUGGUUGCUUAAAAGUAUGUAGCACUUCCCCCUUCACUCUCUCUCCUGCUCCAACUGUAUGAAGACAUGCAUGCUUCCCCUUUGCCUUCCACUAUGUUUGUAAGUUUCCUGAGGCCUCCAGCCAUUCUUCCUGUAUAGCCUGCAGAACCAUGAGCCAAUAACACCUCUUUUCUUUAUAAAUUACCCAGUCUCAGGUAGUUAUUUAUAGCAAUGUGAGAACAAAUGAAUACAAAUGUUAAAUUAAUACCGCAUUAUGGGGAUAAGUUCCACUUGGUCACAAUGUACUAUGUGGCUAUUUUUGAUUCAUUAGUAAUUUCUUCAGGAUUUUUGCAUCUAUGUUCAAGAGAGAUAUUGGUCUAUAAUAUUUUUAAUACCUCUUUUGUGUUUUGGCAACAGAGUUAUGAUGACCUCAUCAAAUGAACUGGGAAGUAUUUUAUCAUCCUUUAUUUUCUGAAAGAGCUUAUGAAAUAUUGGUAAUAUUUAUUCCUAAAUGUUUUCUAGAAUUCACCAGUGAAGACAUCUGGGCCUGGAGUUUGUUUUAGGGAAGGUUCUCUAUUAUGACUUCAAUAUAUGACUGUAUUAUGACUUUAACAGAUGAUAUGCAGGGCUAUUUAGAUUUUCUACUUUGUCUCCUGUCAAUUUUGAUAUGUUGUAUUUUUUCAAAGAUUUCAAUUUUAUCUUAUUUAUUAAAGUUAUUGCAUAAAGUUGUUCAUAACAUCCUUUUAUUAUUCAAGUGUCUAUAGUGAUAUCUCAAGAGUCUCUGGAGAGGUUUUAUCUCAGCAGUCUUACCUGCCCCAGCAUUUGGCACACAACCCUGAUCCACUCAGUGAGAGAAAAUUGGGAAGAGAUGGUGGGUAUGUGCAGGCUCAAAUUAUGUCUUGGGCUCCUCAGAUUGUAUGUAUGUAAGAUACAGAAUGUAUCUUAUCAGCCCAAACAUGCUAUUAAAAAUUUGUUAAGAAUU
rnacentral:lncRNA from 10 species